rnacentral:rRNA from 1 species
GACGAACGCUGGCGGCGUGCUUAACACAUGCAAGUCAGGGGGUGGGGCGAACCCAUCACCGGCGAACGGGUGCGUAACACGUGAGCGACCUGCCUUCGAGUGGGGGAGUAGCCGGCCCAACGGCCGGGUAAUACCGCAUACGACUGUUGAGAGGCAUCUCUCGGCAGUGAAGCCUUCAGGGCUCGGAGAGGGGCUCGCGGCCUAUCAGCUAGUUGGCGGGGUAACGGCCCACCAAGGCGGNGGACGGGUAGCUGGUCUGAGAGGGUGACCGGCCACACU